AAAACAAUAUUUAAUAAUAGCGGGAAAAGUAAUCUCUCUUAAAUUGGGAAUCUAAAUUACCAUCAGGCAAUUUAAGGCUGGUACACAUGAAGUUUUUAAAUCCUAAGAGAUUUAUUUUCUGCUCCAGAAACAAACUAGAACAUGAACCAAGGUCCGCUUUGUCCUCGUGGCAAUGGACUACAUCAUGAAGUGGCCUGAAGCCUAUGCCCCCCUUGACCGGAGUACCACCACCACCCCUGAACAUGUGAUCAACGAGAUGUUCUUCAAGUUUGGUGCACCAUAAGAGCUCCACAGCGACCAGGGCUGGAACUUCGAUGCGCAAGUUUUUGCUGAGGUCUGCCAGCGCCUGGGGUUCUAGCAGACCUGCACGGCGCCGCUGCAUCCGUAAAGCAACGGUCUGGUUGAACGCAUCAGCCGCACCCUGGCCAUGAGAGCUUGCCAUCCUCACCAGUCGUCAGCUCCUUCCACUGUUCCUGUCAGCACGCCAAAUGGCGAUCCAAGAGUCGAAUUAGUGAACCCUGGCAGUCCUCAUGUUCGGAUGAGAGUUGUGGACCCCUAAUGAUAUGGUGUUUGGGCCUCCGCCUGAAUCGGAGGUGGAUGGCGAACCCAGUUUGAACUACUAAGGCAAACUACAAGACCAACCGUGGGGGAUGCACCUUGUGGCCCGACAGACUCUGGACGAGAACGGGGGCCGCCAGAAGAGGGCUUACGACAUCUGCUGAAAAGGUGAGGACUUUGACUUUGGGUCCGCUGCCCAAAGAGAAGAGAGGACUGUCACCCAAGCUGAUGAGGCACCAGGUGGGGCCGUGUACAGUCAUUAAAAAGAAACUCUCCGAUGUGGUUUAGUGGUUGCAGGUGUAAUCGUGACUGGCUGGCCAAAGCUAAAAAUGAUUUGUAUCUUUCUUACAAGAGAUUGUCAAGUGUUCUGUGCUAUCAAAGACAAAAAUCAGAGGCGAGGUUGAGAUGAAUGUGUGUGUCUUGUGAUGUGUGUCUCAUAAAAAGUGUUGGUGUCUUCCUUAA